CAGUAGCCGCGGUAAUACGGAGGGUGCAAGCGUUACUCGGAAUCACUGGGCGUAAAGGACGCGUAGGCGGAUUAUCAAGUCUCUUGUGAAACCUAACGGCUUAACCGUUAAACUGCUUGGGAAACUGAUAAUCUAGAGUAAGGGAGAGGCAGAUGGAAUUCUUGGUGUAGGGGUAAAAUCCGUAGAUAUCAAGAAGAAUACCUAUUGCGAAGGCGAUCUGCUGGAACUUAACUGACGCUAAUGCGUGAAAGCGUGGGGAGCAAACAGGAUUAGAUACCCCCGUAGUCCCUGUCUCUUAUAC
rnacentral:rRNA from 1 species